GGGGUCCAUAUGGGUGCUGCUGACAGGGGUCCUUUGUAUGGUGCUGCUUCAGCUUCACGGGGAGGACUUGAGAAACCUCAAAUGAAUCGUCGCUGAGGUGUUCUCUGUUCGCUUGCUGUCCAAUAGGAAGAAGGGCCUCUCUUUUAUUCUUGUAGUUGUGUUUAUAUUUCCGAGUCCCUGAUGUGGAACCAUAUAUUCGGAUGAAAGCUGGAAGCUUUGUUCAAUUUACCUUUACUUUUAUCUUGCUGUCUUUAUGCUAUGGGAUGACAUUUGUGGGCAGCUGUUGUUAAGGAAACACUCUAGGAUCGAGUUACCCAACUUGAUAUGGCCAGGGGACAAGUGUAGACUAUGGUUGGUAGAAAGGCAGGAGUGUCGAAGUUGAGCUGUGGGAGCUCAUGACGUCUGAUUUAAGCAAUGCCUAUGAUGAAGAGGGGUCUAGGAACUCAUGAUGAUCUGAUGUAAGCCAAUCUGAAUUGAGGUAUUUCUGAAUGAUGUUGAAUGGUCAGCAAAAGCAAUUUAACUGACAAUCCCACGCAGGGCUGAGUUGAAGGGUGGUGUUAUGAUUGGGAGGAGGAGCUUUUGACUGUGAAUCAGCUCACACCGCGGCAUCCUGGAUAACUAAAUCAACAUAUGUGAGUUGCAUAACAAAAAUUUCAAACGGACUGACAUGUUUUAAAAACAUUUUUAUGCUCCCAGAGGUUGUGUUUAUGAGCAGUAACACAAUGUUAUGCAUGCAAAAGCGGGAUUUAAG
rnacentral:misc_RNA from 1 species